rnacentral:rRNA from 1 species
CCUACGGGAGGCUGCAGUGGGGGAUAUUGCACAAUGGGGGAAACCCUGAUGCAGCGACGCCGCGUGUGGGAAGACGGUCCUCUGGAUUGUAAACCACUGUCCCCAGGGACGAAGAUGACGGUACCUGGGGAGGAAGCUCCGGCUAACUACGUGCCAGCAGCCGCGGUAAUACGUAGGGAGCGAGCGUUGUCCGGAGUUACUGGGUGUAACGGGAGCGUAGGCGGGACUGCAAGUUGGGUGUCAAAUCUACCGGCUCAACCGGUAGCCGCACUCAAAACUGCAGUUCUUGAGGGAAGUAGAGGCAGGCGGAAUUCCUAGUGUAGAGGUGAAAUGCGUAGAUAUUAGGAGGAACACCAGUGGCGAAGGCGGCCUGCUGGGCUUUUACUGACGCUGAGGCUCGAAAGUGUGGGGAGCAAACAGGAUUAGAUACCCGGGUAGUC